ensembl:snRNA
GUGUUGUAUUAAAGGAGAGAAGGUUAGCACUCCCCUUGACAAGGAUGGAAGAGGCCCUUGGGCCUGGCAAGAUAUCCUUGU